GAUGAACGCUAGCGGGAGGCUUAACACAUGCAAGUCGAGGGGCAGCAUAGGGUAGCAAUACUCUGAUGGCGACCGGCGCACGGGUGAGUAACACGUAUGCAACCAACCCAUAACAGGGGGAUAACCCGGAGAAAUCCGGACUAAUACCGCAUAAGACCACGAUAUCGCAUGAUAUAGAGGUCAAAUAUUUAUAGGUUAUGGACGGGCAUGCGUCUGAUUAGCUGGUUGGCGGGGUAACGGCCCACCAAGGCAUCGAUCAGUAGGGGUUCUGAGAGGAAGGUCCCCCACAUUGGAACUGAGACACGGUCCAAACUCCUACGGGAGGCAGCAGUGAGGAAUAUUGGUCAAUGGGACGCAAGUCUGAACCAGCCAUGCCGCGUGGAGGAUGAAGGUCCUCUGGAUUGUAAACUUCUUUUAUCUGGGACGAAAAAAGGGUUUUCUAACUCGUCUGACGGUACCAGAUGAAUAAGCACCGGCUAACUCCGUGCCAGCAGCCGAC
rnacentral:rRNA from 1 species